GCAGUCGCCACGGUAAUACGAAGGGGGCUAGCGUUGUUCGGAUUUACUGGGCGUAAAGGGCGCGUAGGCGGACUGAUAAGUCAGGGGUGAAAUCCCAAGGCUCAACCUUGGAACUGCCUUUGAUACUGUUUGUCUUGAGUUCGAGAGAGGUAAGUGGAACUGCGAGUGUAGAGGUGAAAUUCGUAGAUAUUCGCAAGAACACCAGUGGCGAGGGCGGCUUACUGGCUCGAAACUGACGCUGAGGCGCGAAAGCGUGGGGAGCAAACAGGAUUAGAUACCCCGGUAGUCCCUGUCUCUUAUAC
rnacentral:rRNA from 1 species